rnacentral:rRNA from 1 species
AGUGAACGCUGGCGGUAGGCCUAACACAUGCAAGUCGAACGGCAGCACAGUAAGAGCUUGCUCUUACGGGUGGCGAGUGGCGGACGGGUGAGGAAUACAUCGGACUCUACUUUUUCGUGGGGGAUCACGUAGGGAAACUUACGCUAAUACCGCAUACGACCUACGGGUGAAAGCAGGGGAUCUUCGGACCUUGCGCGAUUGAAUGAGCCGAUGUCGGAUUAGCUAGUUGGCGGGGUAAAGGCCCACGAAGGCGACGAUCCGUAGCUGGUCUGAGAGGAUGAUCAGCCACACUGGAACUGAGACACGGUCCAGACUCCUACGGGAGGCAGCAGUGGGGAAUAUUGGACAAUGGGCGCAAGCCUGAUCCAGCCAUACCGCGUGGGUGAAGAAGGCCUUCGGGUUGUAAAGCCCUUUUGUUGGGAAAGAAAAGCAGCAGGUUAAUACCCCGCUGUUCUGACGGUACCCAAAGAAUAAGCACCGGCUAACUUCGUG